rnacentral:rRNA from 2 species
GGCGGGNGGCUACACAUGCAGUCGAGCGGAUGAAGAGAGCUUGCUCUCUGAUUCAGCGGCGGACGGGUGAGUAAUGCCUAGGAAUCUGCCUGAUAGUGGGGGACAACGUUUCGAAAGGAACGCUAAUACCGCAUACGUCCUACGGGAGAAAGCAGGGGACCUUCGGGCCUUGCGCUAUCAGAUGAGCCUAGGUCGGAUUAGCUAGUUGGUGAGGUAACGGCUCACCAAGGCGACGAUCCGUAACUGGUCUGAGAGGAUGAUCAGUCACACUGGAACUGAGACACGGUCCAGACUCCUACGGGAGGCAGCAGUGGGGAAUAUUGGACAAUGGGCGAAAGCCUGAUCCAGCCAUGCCGCGUGUGUGAAGAAGGUCUUCGGAUUGUAAAGCACUUUAAGUUGGGAGGAAGGGCAUUAACCUAAUACGUUAGUGUUUUGACGUUACCGACAGAAUAAGCACCGGCUAACUUCGUGCCAGCAGCCGCGGUAAUACGAAGGGUGCAAGCGUUAAUCGGAAUUACUGGGCGUAAAGCGCGCGUAGGUGGUUUGUUAAGUUGAAUGUGAAAGCCCCGGGCUCAACCUGGGAACUGCAUCCAAAACUGGCAAGCUAGAGUAUGGCAGAGGGUGGUGGAAUUUCCUGUGUAGCGGUGAAAUGCGUAGAUAUAGGAAGGAACACCAGUGGCGAAGGCGACCACCUGGGCUAAUACUGACACUGAGGUGCGAAAGCGUGGGGAGCAAACAGGAUUAGAUACCCUGGUAGUCCACGCCGUAAACGAUGUCGACUAGCCGUUGGGAUCCUUGAGAUCUUAGUGGCGCAGCUAACGCAUUAAGUCGACCGCCUGGGGAGUACGGCCGCAAGGUUAAAACUCAAGAAAAUUGACCG